UGAGAUGGAUCGAGACCAGUGUUGCCGGGUGGAACAACCACAUCCACCGGAGCCACCAGUCCAACACGAGCAGGAGCUCCGACCUUGUACUUCGCAACCUCUUCACUGACUUCCUUCAAGUCACCUUUUGUGAAGAUCAGACCGACAUUUCCCUAACAUUGUGAAUACGAAGAUAUAAGUUACAAGUGAAUCGAUAACAUUUCCCUAAAAUCAAAGAACAAUUGAUAUCGAUUGGAGCAAUGGACAAUAUAAGCAUUUAGAAACGGAUUAUUUUGGGAGAAGAACGUUCAUUAAUUAUGUAAAUCGGAAACAUAAUUUCGAGAAAUAUACAAUCGUUUUUUACAGAGAUUAAUCAGUACUGAAACAGUCUAAUUAGGUUUUAUUUACAGAAUUUGUUAACUAAACAGAUAGUUUAAUCACAAUUAACAAUACAGAAGUAGAAAUCGAGACAAGUGAGGUUCAACUUACAAUAAGGAGAGGGAUGAGAUUGAGGUAGGCCUUGUUUCCGGUUUUCUCGGAAUGCAUCCUGAUUGAACGCUUCAUCAUGGUAUUCUUCCCCAUCAGGAUAACAGAAUCCCCUCGAAGACCAUGACGAAUGUUCUGAAGUUGCUU
rnacentral:lncRNA from 1 species